rnacentral:rRNA from 1 species
AAUCCAUAGGUUAAUGAGGCGAACCGGGGGAACUGAAACAUCUAAGUACCCCGAGGAAAAGAAAUCAACCGAGAUUCCCCCAGUAGCGGCGAGCGAACGGGGAGGAGCCCAGAGCCUGAAUCAGCAUGUGUGUUAGUGGAAGCGUCUGGAAAGGCGCGCGAUACAGGGUGACAGCCCCGUACACAAAAGCGCAUGUGCUGUGAGCUCGAUGAGUAGGGCGGGACACGUGGUAUCCUGUCUGAAUAUGGGGGGACCAUCCUCCAAGGCUAAAUACUCCUGACUGACCGAUAGUGAACCAGUACCGUGAGGGAAAGGCGAAAAGAACCCCGGCGAGGGGAGUGAAAAAGAACCUGAAACCGUGUACGUACAAGCAGUGGGAGCACAGGUUUACCUGUGUGACUGCGUACCUUUUGUAUAAUGGGUCAGCGACUUAUAUUCUGUAGCAAGGUUAACCGAAUAGGGGAGCCGGAGGGAAACCGAGUCUUAAUUGGGCGUUAAGUUGCAGGGUAUAGACCCGAAACCCGGUGAUCUAGCCAUGGGCAGGUUGAAGGUUGGGUAACACUAACUGGAGGACCGAACCGACUAAUGUUGAAAAAUUAGCGGAUGACCUGUGGCUGGGGGUGAAAGGCCAAUCAAACCGGGAGAUAGCUGGUUCUCCCCGAAAGCUAUUUAGGUAGCGCCUCGUGAAUUCAUCUCCGGGGGUAGAGCACUGUUUCGGCUAGGGGGCCAUCCCGGCUUACCAACCCGAUGCAAACUGCGAAUACCGGAGAAUGUUAUCACGGGAGACACACGGCGGGUGCUAACGUCCGUCGUGAAGAGGGAAACAACCCAGACCGCCAGCUAAGGUCCCAAAGUCAUGGUUAAGUGGGAAACGAUGUGGGAAGGCCCAGACAGCCAGGAUGUUGGCUUAGAAGCAGCCAUCAUUUAAAGAAAGCGUAAUAGCUCACUGGUCGAGUCGGCCUGCGCGGAAGAUGUAACGGGGCUAAACCAUGCACCGAAGCUGCGGCAGCGACACUGUGUGUUGUUGGGUAGGGGAGCGUUCUGUAAGCCUGCGAAGGUGGCCUGUGAGGGUUGCUGGAGGUAUCAGAAGUGCGAAUGCUGACAUAAGUAACG